UCGAAAAGAAAAUUCCACGUGGAGGAACGGAAAUUUUUUCGGACAUUUAUUUUUGCCCGUUAGGGCACGCGAGCGCCGGGUUCCCGUCUUCCUUCUCUUCCUUCCUGUGCCGCAGCUGCUCCCUCUUCUUUCUCGUCGUCUCACACGCAGAACAGGCGCGUCUCCAUUCUCCUCUCCCUCUCCGCAUCAGAGUUCCACUCCACCGGAGCAAUGCAGCCGCGAGCCUCCCGUUCCUCUCUUUCUCGCAAGUUCAUAGGUGAAGGAUCUCUUGACAAUGGAAGGAGCCAUUCUGUUGACAGAGAAACCAUUUUAUCUUUGUUUACUGCAUAUUCAAUUGUAACUUGUAUUUAUUGUUAAGAGUUCUUAUUUGUAAAGGAAUUGUGACUUUUAGUUUUUAUGUAGUUGAGCUUUUCUUUUUAAA